rnacentral:rRNA from 1 species
AGUGAACGCUGGCGGUAGGCCUAACACAUGCAAGUCGAACGGCAGCACAGUAAGAGCUUGCUCUUACGGGUGGCGAGUGGCGGACGGGUGAGGAAUACAUCGGAAUCUACUUUUUCGGGGGGGAUAACGUAGGGAAGCUUACGCUAAUACCGCAUACGACCUACGGGGGAAAGCAGGGGAUCUUCGGACCUUGCGCGGUUGGAUGAGCCGAUGUCGGAUUAGCUAGUUGGCGGGGUAAAGGCCCACCAAGGCGAGGAUCCGUAGCUGGUCUGAGAGGAUGAUCAGCCACACUGGAACUGAGACACGGUCCAGACGCCUACGGGAGGCAGCAGUGGGGAAUAUUGGACAAUGGGCGUAAGCAUGAUCCAGCCAUACCGCGUGGGUGAAGAAGGCCUUCGGGUUGUAAAGCCCUUUUGUUGGGAAAGAAACGCAGCAGGUUAAUACCCCGCUGUUCUGACGGUACCCAAAGAAUAAGCACCGGCUAACUUCGUG